rnacentral:lncRNA from 1 species
AAGAAUUAAGGAGGCCCUGGCAGGGACCGACUUGUUCAUCCAAAAUUAUGGAAGUUUUAUCUCUUCAAUUAAUGUUCUAAAACGUGUUCUGCAAAAUGUUAGCUUUUAGAAUUUGCAUGAAAAAAGCCUGGUUCUUUUAUUAAUAAUAUAAUUUAAGUUGAUGACAAAGACAUCACAAGGCUACUGAACUCAAAUGACUAGACUGCAGAAAAAAGUGUAGGCA